GUUUUUCUAGUUAAAGUAUAACGUUGGUUUUUCAAGCCUUAGUUCUUGGUUAGAGUCCAAGGUAAAACC
rnacentral:tRNA from 1 species